GAUAGAGGCGCGUCUUUAAUGAGUAGAUCAUGCCAGAUUGCCAAGGUCGUUACAGCAUGGAAGAAAGGUAAAGUCGCCGAAGGGGAUGGUUGGCAGCCGUCCACCUGGUUGCAUUCCCAAACAGGGCUGUAACUGUCAUCAUACGAAUGGUGUGAUGAAGAGCUAUCAGAU
rnacentral:ncRNA from 1 species